rnacentral:sRNA from 1 species
ACAGUUACGCGCCGCACGGAUCAUGGCCGCAGCCGCUCUGGGGCAGCUCUCCUGCCCACAGGCUGGCUGUCGCACUGUGUUUGUCUCUCUCGUACUGUGGGUGUCCUAUCCCUCUGGGCAGAAGCAUGGCUGCAAGGCUGAGCAGUCUAGAUGUCGCCACCCAAAGGCAAUCCAGGGACCCACGCUCUGAUCACCCCGUAAUCCCUGGAGCCUCACACCAGCAAGACCACGCUGCAGGCCCAUCUCCCAGCAACUCACCUAGCGACAAGUGACCACGCCCAUUCACGUCCAUCUUCCAGAAUCAGUACCAACUCACCCAGCUCACAGGGCAGGCCAGGCCAGGCCACUCUGUCUCUCUCAACCUCACGCCCCAACGCCUCCCCACAGGGCUGGGGAAAGAGGCCUUGUGAGGUCAAAGGUCACCAGAGAGGGCCCAACCUGCUGGACACAGCCAGACCUGCUCUUCCUACUCCCCUCUGGGAGGACCCGCCUGAGCCUCAUGCAGUGAGGACUGCAGUGGCUCCCCAGGCCCCUGUAGCUGCCCCUCAGCCCCAGGGGCUGAAGGGAAU